rfam:Gossypium raimondii Chr13_contig_626, whole genome shotgun sequence.
CGCGUCAGCGCGCUUUGCUGACGUGGACACAAAUCGCGCUCCAGAUGACGCGAUUUGUUGCCAUGUCAGCAAAGCGCCCUAACGUGG